rnacentral:rRNA from 1 species
UGCGCAGGCGGAAUAAUAAGUCAGUGGUGAAACCCUACAGCUUAACUGUAGAACUGCCAUUGAUACUGUUAUUCUUGAGUAUAGUUGAAGUGGGCGGAAUGUAUCAUGUAGCGGUGAAAUGCAUAGAUAUGAUACAGAACACCGAUAGCGAAGGCAGCUCACUAAACUAUAACUGACGCUCAGGCACGAAAGCGUGGGGAGCGAACAGGAUUAGAUACCCUGGUAGUC